UUAAAUGAUCCUUUAUAAAGAUUAAAAGACUAAGUUACUUUAGGGAUAACAGCGUCAUUCUUUUUGAGAGUUCUUAUCGAAAAAAGAGUUUGCGACCUCGAUGUUGAAUUAAAAUAUCUUUAUGGUGCAGAAAUCAUAAUAGAAGGUCUGUUCGACCUUUAAAUUUUUACAUGAUUUGAGUUCA
rnacentral:rRNA from 1 species